GCAAGUUUUUCUAUUAGCUUAUAUGCCUUUUAACCCCGAAAAGGUUGGAUUCUUGCAAAAAAACAACAAUCCCAGAUUUGUGAAGAGAGAAAUCUGGAAGAAUACCAGUAGGAGGCACCAAUUUGGUUCUUCAAUUUAGUCCCUCUGAAUUCCUUCUGUUAUGACCUUCAACGUUAAUGGGGCUCUUUUGAUAGUCUAUUGAUCUCGUUCUGUUAUGACCUUCA
rnacentral:misc_RNA from 1 species